rnacentral:rRNA from 1 species
GGAAUCUUAGACAAUGGGGGAAACCCUGAUCUAGCGAUGCCGCGUGAGUGAUGAAGGCCCUAGGGUCGUAAAGCUCUUUCGCCAGGGAAGAUAAUGACUGUACCUGGUAAAGAAGCCCCGGCUAACUUCGUGCCAGCAGCCGCGGUAAUACGAAGGGGGCUAGCGUUGUUCGGAAUUACUGGGCGUAAAGCGCACGUAGGCGGGUCAUUAAGUCAGGGGUGAAAUCCCAAGGCUCAACCUUGGAACUGCCUCUGAUACUGAUGAUCUUGAGUCCGAGAGAGGUGAGUGGAACUCCGAGUGUAGAGGUGAAAUUCGUAGAUAUUCGGAAGAACACCAGUGGCGAAGGCGGCUCACUGGCUCGGUACUGACGCUGAGGUGCGAAAGCGUGGGGAGCAAAC